UAUAUGUAUGUAUAUAUAAAAGUUUUGUUUAUUUUGAGAGAGACAGAGAUAGCAUGAGUUGGGGAGAGGCAGAGAGAGAGGGGGAGAGAGAUAAUACCAAACAGGCUCCUCACUGCCAGGGCGGAGCCGGUCACAGGGCUUGAAACUCAAGAAACUGUGAGAUCAUUACCUGAGCCAGAACUGAGAGUCAGACGCUUAACCAACUGAGCCACUCAGCCGCCACAUCAUAUUUUGAUUUUUCCAACCGUUAAAAAAUGUAAAGGCUUUACAUUGGAAACAAAAACGGGCAGUGGGCUGGAUUUGGCUGGUUGGUAGUAUGUCCUCUCCUGAUCCGAAAGCUAAACUGGGGCCUGAUGAUCUGUGUUAUAUUAAACAAUUUAGGCUUUGGGUGGAGUCAUAGAUAAGUUUUAAGCAAGGACAGGGCAUGCAUAGGUAAAAUGAGUUUUAGAAAGAACUCUACCUGUUAAGCAUUAAAAGAACUGUAGAGGUCACAGGUGGAGACCAGAUAGGAGUCUUUUGAUGACAGCUUAAGUUAAAGUAGUAACAGUGGAAUGGAUGGACAGAUUUGAGAGGUAAUAGAAGGAGAACUGAUAGGAUACAGAGAUUGGUGGGGAUGAGGGAAAGUGAAGACUCAAGGCUAAUUUCUAGGCUUUGGGAUUGGAGAAUUAUGUGGCAUAUGGUGGUGCUAUUUAUUGAGCUGAGAGGAUUACAGGAGCUUUUUGAAGAGAGGAGGGUAUUUAAAUGUUGGACAUGUGGAUUUUGAAGUAUCUAUGGAAAAUGUAGGCAUGGAGCUUUAGAUCUGCAAAUUGUGCUGGUUUGCUUAUAAAGACGAGAUUGAGGGGUGCCUGGGUGGCUCAGUUGGUUAAGCCUCUGACUUCGGCUCAGAUCAUGAUCUCAUGGUUCCGUGGAUUCGGGGCCUGUGUUGGGCUCAGUGCUGACAGCUCAGCCUGGAGUCUGCUUUGGACUCUGUGUCUCCCUCUCUCUCUCUGCCCCUCCCCCACCCAUGCUCUGUCUCUGUCAAAAAUAAAUAAACGUUGAAAAAAAUUAAAAACAUAAUAAAAUAAAGAUGAGAUUGAAUAGCAAUGACAAUACAUCCAUUUACUUAUUAAUACAAUAAUUUUUUUGGAAGAAUUCUCUGCUGUUCUGGGAGCCAAUUACACCUUGGAAGACCAUAGGAGAGCUUGACAGAGCAGAUAAGGAGUCACCAGCAUAUAAAUGGAAAUUGAAGGUAUGGGAAUUGAUGAGCUCACCCAUCAGAUGUAUAUAGAGUGAGAACAACAAGUCCUUGGAGAGGCAGCUGAGAACAGCAAUUGACUGGCAAUUGACACUGAGAAGGAACAGCCAAAAAGGCUAGCAGUAUGUGGCAGGAUCCUCUUUUGUGAUGUGGGUAGUGGCAAUGAGCCACAGCUUCUAGCCAGCCAUGAUUGCAAAGGUAAACAACCAAUACACUUAUAACCAUUCUGUUUUUCACUUUCAGUACAGUAUUCAAUAAAUUACAUAGAUAUUCAACACUUCAUUAUAGAACAGGCUUUGUGUUAGAUGAUUUGCCCAAUGUAAGUGAUCUGACCAUGUUUAAGGUAGGCUAGGCUAGGGGGCGCCUGGGUGGCUCAGUCAGUUGAGUGUUUGACUCUUGAUUUCAGCUCAGGUCAUGAUCUCAAAGUUCAUAGGAUUGAGCCCUGUAUUAGGCUCUGUGCUGUCAGCACAGAGCCUGCAUGGGAUUCUCUCUCUCUCUCUCUCUCUCUCCUCUCCCUCUCCCUCUCCCUCUCACUCUCCCUCUCCCUCUCCCUCUCCCUCUCCCUCUCCCUCUCCCUCUCCCUCUCCCUCUCUCCCCCUCCCCUGCAUUCUCUCUCUCACACAAAAUAAAUAAACUUUAAAAUAAUAAUAAGUAGGCUAAGCUAAGCUAAGCUAUGAUGCUCAGUAGUUUAGGUGUAUUAAAUUCAUUUUUGACAUGGUAUUUUCAGCACAUGUAGCUUUAUCAAGGUGUAACCCCAUCAUAAGUUAAGGAAGAUACAUAGUAGCAGAAUAUUGAGACUAGAGGAGAAACACAUGGAAGUGAGUUUUCCUUAAAUUGAGUCACUUAACUCCUUGGUAAUUCAGUUUCUUCACUUGUAAAAUGAGCAUAGUAAUAUAGUAUCUUAUCCAAAAUCCAUGAGGACAGAUAUAUCUGAGAAUUUCUAAAUUUUAAGAUUUUAGAAUGCUGUCAUGGUACAUAUACCAGAUAUUAUGAGAUACCCUCACGGGGCUCUAGGGCAAAUCAAACAUUAAUAUUUCUGCAUUGAAAGGUAUUAUGGUGGACAGACUCUUAAAGUGACCCCACACUCUCCACUUCCUGGUGUUUACUCGCUUAUAUGAUCCUGUCCCUUCAAGUGUGGGUAGGACCUGUGACUUGCUUCUAACUGAAAGAAUAUGGCAAAGAUGAUAAGAUGUAUAUGAUUGCAAGUGCAUGAUUAUGUGAUUACGUUACAUAGGAUUGUAGUAUCCGUCUUGCUGGAGUGUCAGUCUCCGUCUUUUCUUCUCCCUACCACUCAUCCUUGCUGGCUUUGAGGAAGCAAAUGGCCAUGGUAGGGGAUGCCACACAGCAAUGAAUAUGACUUCUAAGCUGAGGGCAGCCUCCGACUUACAGGCAGCAAACAAAACAAAACACACACACACACACACACACACACACACACACCAAACUGAAGCCCUCAGUCCUACCACCUCAGGGAACUGAAUUCUGCCAAUAACAUGAGUAAACUUGGAAGUGGAUCCUUCCCUGUUAGAACCCAGUAGAGACUGCAGCCCCAGCUGACCUUGAUAGAAGCCUUGUGAGAUCCUCAGCAGAGAACCCAGCUUGGACUCCUGACCAAUGGAAACUUAGAGAUAGUAGGGGCGCCUGGGUGGUUUAGUCCGUUAAGUGUCUAACUUCGGCUCAGGUCGUGAUCUCGCGGUUGGUGAGUUUAAGCCCCGUGUGGGCCUCUGUGUUGACAGCUCAGAGCCUGGAGCCUGCUUUAGAUUCUGGUACUCCCUCUCUCUCUGACCCUCCCCCACUCACACUCUGUCUUCCUCCAUCUCUCAAAAAUAAAUAAACAUUAAAAAAAAAAUUAGGGGCGCCUGGGUCGCUCAGUCAGUUAAGCAUCCAACUUCAGCUCAGGUCAUGAUCUCACAGUUUAUGAGUUCGAGCCCUGCAUCAGGCUCUGUGCUGACAGCUCGCAGCCUGGAGCCUGCUUCGGAUUCUGUGUCUCUUCUCUCUUUGCCCCUCCCCAACUUGUGCUCUCUCUCUCUCUCUCAAAAAACAAAUACAUGUAAAAAAAAAAAAAACUUUUUUAAUAAAAUAAAAAAAAUUUAAAACUUAGAGAUAGUAAAUGUGUUGGUCUAAGUCACUAAAUUUGUAGUAAUAUUGUUCCAUAACAAUAGGAAACUAAUAAAGUUAUGGAUAUUCAUACUUUUUUCCUGAUUUUUAAUUUUUUAAAUAAAAAACAUUAUAAGUAAUCUAAAUAGCCUCACAUCUGUUCAGGACAAACUUUGCUACCAGGAGAGUUUGGGCAGCAAAUAUAGGAAAAGUCUGUUGGUUUUCAGGGUCUUUUGGGCUUCCAAAUUAAGAUAAGAGAUCUUAGACUUGUACCAUAUAACCUUAUAGGGUUGCUGGGCGAUGGAAAAAAAAAUACUGUGUUAAGGUUUUGGAACAGGACUUAGCACAUAAGAAGUAUUCCAUAAACUAUGAUUGACUAUUAUUAUGAUUAGAAUCAGAGCUCCUGGGACAGGUCAGCCUCUCUGCUGUUAUUCCUUACAAGUUGCUUCUCAAGUUUCCCCAUUUCUAACAGGAGGGCUUCUUAGUGGAGACCAGAAAGAGAGUUGGGGGAAUAACUUCUGUUUAUUGAGCCCCUGUUCUGGGGAGGUUUGGGCUGGGUGUUCAGCGAGCUAUAAUGUGAAUUGCUUGUGAGUGAAAAGACAUAGGGUCUGCUUGUGGCCUUACUGCUGAAGAGGUGCACAACCCUAGGGAAAUGGCUUCUUGCUGAGUCUCAAUUUCUUUUUUUUUAAUUUUAUUAUUAUUUUUUAAGUUUUUUAUUUUGAGAGUGAGAGAGUGUGCAGGUGCAUGAGUGCAUGAGUUGGGGAGGGGAAGAGAGAGGUAGAGAGAGAACCCCAAGCAGGCUCCACUGUCAGCACAGAGCUUGAUACAGACUCAAUCUCAGGAACUUGGAGACCUGAACUGAGAUCAAGAGUUGGACACCUAACCAACUGAGCCACCCAGGCACCCCUGAGUCUCAAUUUCUUGAUCUCUCAGAUGGGGCUAGCUGAUCCCUCCCACCUAAAUAUGUGAGAGGAGAGGUAUGACAAGUGUACUUUAGACUGAAGGAUUAUUUUUGUUUUUAAUGUCAUUUGGAAAAGGGAAGAACAUAUGCAAGGUGUGCCUGACCUUUUCUUAUAUACACAAAGGAAAUGCUCCCAACCCCAAUAUAAAACCUCACCUUCAUCCCUGUGCAGAGCACAGAGGAGUGGCUCGUUUUUUGCCUAGUCUUCUGUGCAAUGUGAAUGGGGACUACAGGUCUCUACCUGCUCAGAUCACCAUACCUACCUUUGCAUCCCCUAUAUUUUUUUAAGUUUGUUUAUUUAUUUAUUUUGAGAGAGAGAGAGAGCACAUGCGAGUGAGGGAAGGGCAGAGAGAGAGGGAGAGGGAGAAUCCCAAGCAGGCUCCACACCAUUAGUGCAGAGCUUGAACUCAUGAACAGUGAGACCCUGGUCUGAGCCAAAAUCAAGAAUCGGAUGCUUAACUGGCUGAGCCACCCAGCACCCCUGCAUCCCCUAUUUCUUACGCAGUUAUGACCUGUACAGGAUCUCUCUCUACUUCCUCCACUAGACUGUGGGUUCAUGAGGGCAGUCCAGUGCCCUGCAUGCACCUCAGUAAACAUGGAAUCAAUGAAAACAGGAAAAGGAGUAAGGAGAUUACCAGGUGAACAGGAGGGUAAGACACUUUCAACCUGGACACUCACUGUUGAUUGUCCCAGGUAUGGUCAGAAUAGUCAAAUUUGGAUAUAUUUUGAGGGUUUAACCAAUAGACUUGCUGAAGUAUUGGAAAUGAGGGAAAGAGAGAAAUCAAGGCAUUGUUCAUUCAUUCAUUUUCAACUGAUAAUUAUUGGCUAUUGACUAGAUACUAGGUACUAUUUAAGAUGCUUUAGGUGCAGAGCAAACAAGAUGUUAAAGAUCUCAUGUUCUGAUUGAUGGAGGCAAGCAAUAAACAAGCAAGAUAUUACAAAAGAAUGUUAAGUUCUAAGAAGACAAAAGAGGACAAUGUAACAGGUUAUUAGGUAGGAUAUAUUUGGCUGAAAACCCAAUUCAGAAUGGCGUGAACGUUAAGGGUUUUAUGUCAUGGGAAAACUCAGAGUAGGAUUGUUCCACAGUUGGUUAUUCGGUGGCUCGAUGACAUCAUGGCUCCAGCUCAGCAUCUCUGUGACUCUCAGGUUUUCUUCUCACACUUGUAAGAUGAUUCUACAGGUCUAAGCAAUACCUCCUCGCACUAAGGUGUAGGCAGGGAAAAUCUGUUUUUUCUCACAUCUGUCUUUUAAGGGCAUAGAAAUCUUUGCCUAGAAGAACCCUCCAGCUCUAUCCUUACUAAACCAUCCUUGCCAAGGGGAAUGAGACAUCAUCUUUGAUGUAGAUCAGUCAUGAUUUAUCCCUUGGGGUUGGACAUGGGCCUGACCACCCUUGUAGCAUGUAGGUAUUGGAUACAUGAACAAAAUGAUGAUUCUGUUAGAGAGGGAAUGACCAUAAGCAACAAACACUGUCAUCCAAAGAGGCAGGGAAUAAUUAGAAAGGGUAAUGUGACCUCCCUAGAGAUGGUAAUGCUUGUUUGAGUCUUGUCAAGAAGUAGUUGUUAGUCUUAGGAAAUCUGGGGACUAGCACUGAGUAUAGGGUUUCUUUUUGGGGUGAUGAAAAUGUUCUGAAAUUGAUUGUGGUGAUUUUUGCACAAUUCUGUGAAUAUACUAGAAUGUGUUAAAUUAUAUACCUCAAGUGGGUGAAUUAUAUGGCCUAUGAAUGAUAUCUCAAAGAUGUUAUUUUCUAAAAGAACAAUAAAUGCAAUGCCUUGAGACUAGACAAACUUGGUAUGAAUCACAAAAAUUGUUUGAUUCACUGGGCCAGAUUCAGUGGAGAAUUCUCAUAGCAAACUUUAGUUAUAAUUCAUUCAUUAACAAAGGGUAUGAAACUCAAUUUCAGAACUUUUAUUUUAUUAUUAUUAUGUUUUUUGGUGUGAAAAGGUGAUUUUAUUAAAGCGUGGGGACAGGACCCAUGGGCUGGAAGAGCUGCCUCAGAACUUUUAAUAAAAGGUAGAGAAAUACCCUGUAUUUUCAGAUGUGAUAUUCCCUGUUGGUGUUUUUUGUUUUUUGUUUUUCCCCAAGAAUGCAGUUUUCCUAGGCUUCAAACCACUCAGCAUGGAUGGCCUCCAACAGACCUGCAGCCACUAGUAGGUGGGAUCUUGUCUCAUCCAAAGGGCUUCUUCUGUGGCUUAUAGAGGGAGAUGUUACAUUCUCCUUACAUGUAACAUCUGGUCUACUAAUUCAGAUGAUCAUUUUCCAUUGGAUACAAGCUUCAAUGAUAGAUAUUACCCAGCUUAGUUUCUGUCUUUCUCUUUUGUGGCUGAGAUUAUUUUUGCUGUUCAGGGAUUAGUUUUUGUUUGUUUGUUUUUGUUUUUGUUUCUUUUGGUCCUAACACAAUUAUAAGAAAACAUGUUUAAAAAAUCGCUUUAACAUUAUUGAAAUAUAGGGACGCCUGGGUGGCUCAGUCGGCUGAGUGUCCGACUUCGGCUUGGGUCAUGAUCUCAUGGUUCGUGAGUUCAAGCCCCGCAUUGGACUCUGUGCUGACAGCUUAGAGUCUGGAGCCUGCUUGUGAUUCUGUGUCUUCCUCUCUCUCUCUGCCCCUCCCCAACUCCUGCUCUGUUUCUCUCAACAAUAAAUAAACAUUAAAAAAAAAAAGUUUUAAAUGGGAAUGCAAGCUGGUACAGCCACUCUGGAAAACAGUAUGGAGGUUCCUCAAAAAGUUAAAAAUAGAACUACCCUACAGCCCAGCAAUUGCACUACUAAGCAUUUAUCCAAGGGGUACAGGUGUGCUGUUUCGAAGGGACACAUGCACCCCAAUGUUUAUAGCAGCACUAUCGACAAUAGCCAAAGUAUGGAAAGAGCCCAAAUGUCCACUGAUGGAUGAAUGGAUAAAGAAGAUGUGGUAUAUAUAUGUACACAAUAGAGUAUUACUUGGCAAUCAAAAAGAAUGAAGUCUUGCCAUUUGCAACUACGUGGAUGGAACUGGAGGGUAUUAUGCUAAGUGAAAUGAGUCCAUCAGAGAAAGACAAAAAUCGUUUGACUUCACUCAUAUGAGGACUUUAAGAGACAAAACAGAUGAACAUAAAAGGGAAGGGAAACAAAAAUAAUAUAAAAACAGGGAGGGGGACAAAACAGAAGAGACUCAUAAAUAUGGAGAAUAAACUGAGGGUUACUGGAGGGGUUGUGGGAGGGGGGAUGGGCUAAAUGGGUAAGGGGCACUAAGGAAUCUACUCCUGAAAUCAUUGUUGCACUAUAUGCUAACUAAUUUGGAUGUAAAUUAAAAAAAAUAAAACAAGUUAAAAAAAAUUUUUUUUUGAAAACACUGUGCUCACCAUUGAUAGGAGUACAGUGCCUUGUACAGAUGAGGAAGCUGAUACAAGUGUUAUGUAACUGUUCUUUGUGUUUAAUAAAUGGCAGCAUGAGAAUCUGAAAAAAGAAUUUUUUUAAAUUAUUGAAAUAUAGUUGACAUACAAUGUUGUAUUAGUUUCAGGUGUAAAACGCACUGAUUCAACAAUUCUAUAGGAAAAGAAAGCAUUUUUAUCAGAGCCAGUGCUUUGCACCUUGCAGCUGGGCCUCUUCUAACACUGCAGAGGUGCAAAUGAGCAUUUACUAAGACCUGGCAUUUGUCCAAAGCUGUGCAAGAGAGGGAGCUCAAGUCUAUCUCCUAAACAUAACUGAGGAACAAAAAGAAGGCCAGUGUUGCUGGAGUUCAGGGACAAAGAGAUAGGCGGGACUGGAUCAUUUAGGGCCUUGACAGCUAACUGCAGUUGGGAGUCACUGGAAGUCUUGAAACAAGGACAUGACAAGACCUGGAAGGUAUUUUAAACAGAUCUAUUUAGAGCCAUAAAUUUGGGUAAAAUACCUGCAACACGAGUAACUGAAGAAGACUAGUAUCUAGAGUAUAAAAAGUACUCCCACAAGAUAAAUAUGAUAAAAGCCAAAAAAUGCAAUUGGAAAAUCAGCAAAAUACCUGAGUCACCAGUUUCCCCAAAGAGGAAAUCCAGAUGGUCAAUAAACAUGUAAAAAAUGUUCAGUCUCAUUAAUCAACCAGGAAAAUAUGCUAAAACCACACACACACACACAGACAAAUACCCAUAUAAGCCACCAGAUUGUUAAAAGUAGAAAAAAAGAAUCUGAUAUUAUCAAAGACCUUUGACAGUGGUAAUGCAAACAUUAUGUAGGGAGACAGUGGAGAGCACCAGGGACUCAGGAUAGAGUGUUCAUAAUUAAAAGCCAGACAGAGGAAGGGGUGGGUCCUCAAAAGGAGAUUGAGAAGGAGCAGCCAGUGAGAAAGGAGGGGAACAGAAGAGUGUGGCUUUAGGAAAUCUUAGAGAGGAAAGUGUUUCAAAGAGAUACUGCUCAGAGAUCAAUUAUGAUUUAGAUGGAGAACAAAUCAUUAGAUUUGGCAAGGUGAAGAUGGGUGGCAGGUUUGAUAAGGGAUGUUUUGUGGAGGAAGCAGCUGAUUGACUUUACCCAGCCACACUGGGGAGUUGAAUGCUCAGGGGCCACCAUUUAGUUUGUUCACUUUCUUCUUUUUUACGGUUUGUCUCAAAAAAUAUCAAGAGACAUAUUGUUGACCACCAAUUCUUUAUAAAGCAGUGCACGUAUGCCUUCUUACAUGUAGCUAGCUGGUAUCAGAACUAAAUCCAUCAUACCCUUUCCAGUCUGAGUUACAAAAUAGUGAUAAUCUAAAAAAAAAAAAAAAAAAAAGAGUUCUCCUGAAGCACUGGAUUUUAAUAAUGAGCAGAACAAAAAGUCCUCUAGUACUUCUCCUUAUACCACAUAUAUGCCUAGAACUGACUCAUUUUCUAGACAUUUGUGAUUAGUGGCAUCAUACAACUCUAAAUAGAAUAUUUGCUAGCAUGAACACAGAACAGUAAUUCCUCUUUCACAUUAAAUGCCAUUGACAUUAUAUGAUGCCAAAUGCACUGACAUGGAAUUUUGCCAGCAGCUUGUUUUGCUUUCUCUGAGCACAUUUUCAAGAACUUUCUAGCUGGCUUUUACAAACCUUUUGACAACAGUGAGAACCACCUGGUUUAGUAAAUAAGGAAUGCAGCUCUGAAUGAAAUAUUGGUAGUUUUGGUCUGUUUCUGACUUUAGCAAAAAGAAUUAUUAAAUUCUGUACUAAAUUGUUUUGUUGUAGUAGUAAAAAAUUUAAUUGAUUUACCGGAGGUCACAAUGUUAUGCUAGAAAUUGAGAUGAAGGCAUCAUUAACUUCAUGCCAAAACCUGACAAAGUUUCUUAGAAGAUAGAUAGCACAGUGUCAAAAAAAAUAACUGCAUUGCUGAUUUUCAGAUAUUCACCUUUACACUUCUAUCCAUAUAUUUUUUUACUUGUUUCUGUGAAAUUACCACGUUGGUCUCCUUCUAAAAAUGGGCAUCCUGUUCAUUUUUUAUAUUUAUGCCAUUAUGAACUUUAAUAUUUACAUUGCUAUUUUCAUCAUUAAAUUUUUGCUUUAGUGCUUCCCGAGUUCUUGAUAACAUUUAUUUAAACAUUGGAGAUAUAAGACCACACAGUAGUAACCACACAAAACUUAAAGUGUGAAAAUAUUUUAAAUCGAGAUGAACUGCACCUGAUAACUGAAUAUUAGUGGAGACAAAUUGCCAAACACAGUUCUUAUAGUUCAUGUGGUAUGCCAAAAAUGGUAUAAUCACAAAGAAUGUAGCAGGACUUAUUAUUAUUAUUUGAAGACAAUAGUAUAAAGUUAAUAUUUUUCCUUUUGGGGGGUAACUCACUCAAAAGUAAAGAACAGAAUAAGAAAAACUAUGAGGCAAAUCCUUAAGUUACAAAAUAAGUGGAUGGGAGUGAGAGUAUGGGAGGUUGUUAAGAGUGCAGAUUUUAGAAAGAUCUUAUUAGAUUUAGGGUUUCAGAUUGGAUUGGGGUCAGGGUUAGGGUUAAAUAGCAAAAUAUACUACUUAAAAGUUAAGGACAUAGCUUAAAUCUCUUGUAUAGAGCCUAAAUCUUUCAUUUCAAAGGUAGGAAUGCAAUUCACAGGUUGGUUGCAGGAGCUUCCCUGGAUCCACAUGGCUUCAAGAAUCAGAGAAAGUGCAGCAACAUAUGUAUCACAUAGACAAGUUGUACCUUCAGAAAACAGUCUUUGUCUGUGACACUUGGGGAGAAGAGAGACUGCACUGUGAAUAUCCCUGUAUAGCCUAUCUCCAUUUGCUGGGGAAAAGUUAAGGUCAAGCAAAAUACUGGGUCAUAAGCAAAAUUCUUGUUGGUUUGGAAAACAGUAGAUAGCCAGAGUAACAGGAAGCUGCCUGAAUGGGCAGGAAGCCAGGAAGAACCGUGUAGGCCUGAGGAAGUGUUCCUAUAGCAACACAAUUGUUGUGCGUACCAACCCUUGGAAUGGCAGCUAUGUGGACAAGCUGAACCUGGGACACUCUUAAGCCAAAACCCAAGGAAGGCUGAAGUGGUCUUGGCUACUGACAGAAAUAGAAACAAACAUUAUCUGGAGGAGAGCUCUCCAAGUUCGGUUCAGAGGACUCCCACAGAUUAUGACUAAGCACUGAACUCAGAAACAAGAUUACCAAAUACACAAGAAGGCAAUAACCAUGAGUAAGAGUCAGCAGAAACAAACUAUCAAUUUAGA